GGGACGCAUAACAUGCAGUCGAGCGAAGCGAUUAAGAGGAAUUUUUCGGAUGGAAACUUAAUUGACUGAGCGGCGGACGGGUGAGUAACGCGUGGGCAACCUGCCUUAUACAGGGGGAUAACAGUUAGAAAUGACUGCUAAUACCGCAUAAGCGCACAGGAACGCAUGUCCCGGUGUGAAAAACUCCGGUGGUAUAAGAUGGGCCCGCGUCUGAUUAGGUAGUUGGUGGGGCAGCGGCCUACCAAGCCGACGAUCAGUAGCCGACCUGAGAGGGUGACCGGCCACAUUGGGACUGAGACACGGCCCAAACUCCUACGGGAGGCAGCAGUGGGGAAUAUUGCACAAUGGGGGAAACCCUGAUGCAGCGACGCCGCGUGAGUGAAGAAGUAUUUCGGUAUGUAAAGCUCUAUCAGCAGGGAAGAAGCAGACGGUACCUGACUAAGAAGCCCCGGCUAACUACGUGCCAGCAGCCGCGGUAAUACGUAGGGGGCAAGCGUUAUCCGGAUUUACUGGGUGUAAAGGGAGCGUAGACGGCUAAGCAAGUCUGAAGUGAAAGCCCGGGGCUUAACCCCGGGACUGCUUUGGAAACUGUUAAGCUAGAGUGCUGGAGAGGUAAGUGGAAUUCCUAGUGUAGCGGUGAAAUGCGUAGAUAUUAAGAGGAACACCAGUGGCGAAGGCGGCUUACUGGACAGUAACUGACGUUGAGGCUCGAAAGCAUGGGUAGCGAACAGGAUUAGAUACCCUGGUAGUCCACACUGUAAACGAUGGAUACUAGGUGUAAGAUGUAUUAAGCAUUCUGU
rnacentral:rRNA from 1 species